UACGUAGGGUGCAAGCGUUUGUCCGGAAUUAUUGGGCGUAAAGGGCUCGUAGGCGGUCCAUCACGUCGGGAGUGAAAAGCUGGGGCUUAACCCCAGUCCUGCUUCCGAUACGGGUGGACUAGAGGUAGGCAGGGGAGAACGGAAUUCCUGGUGUAGCGGUGAAAUGCGCAGAUAUCAGGAGGAACACCGGUGGCGAAGGCGGUUCUCUGG
rnacentral:rRNA from 1 species